GAGGGUGGGCAGGGCCUGGACGGAGGAAGGGCAGGGAGCUGGAGCCCCAGCGCAGGGCCUGGCACCCACAGGCUGACAGCUGAGCGCUCCCAAAUGCCAGGCCUGUGCCAGUAUCCUGUUCACUACUCUCAAAGGAAGAGGCAUGGUUACCAUCUCCACUUAACAGAUGGGGACACUGAGGCUUGGAAAAGUUAAGUGGCUUGCCCCGGGUGCAAAGUGGGGAAAUGGAAGAAUGCCUGUGCUUUGGACCACUAUCCAGGGGCCUCAGGCAGGGUGGGGGGCAUGGAGAUCAGCUAAGUGGUGGUUUAACAGCAGGGCCUUGAGUUCUACCGGCUUGGGAACAGGGCAGGUCCCAAAGCCAGUUCAGGGGGAUCCUACUGGCCUGGGGUUAGCAGGUCACAUCAAGCAGAAACCUCGGGGGCUGGGCCAGGUAGGUCACCGGAGGUCACCUGAGUGACCAGGCCCUGGCCAUUCCCCAGUCAUGCUGCUGCUUGCUUCCUCCAGCCACGGCAGAGGGCCUGCUCCUCAGAAGGCCAGGGCCCUGGUGCCCCAGGGCCGAGAGGGAAGGAGGGUCAAGGAAGCUGCAGAGUCAGGGGAGGAAAGGAGCCCCUGGCCCUCGCGCCAGGAGAGGGAGAAGGCCUCAGCAGACUCCUGGGUCCCCACUUCCUCUAGAGGAGGGAGCUGAAAUAGCCCAUGCCCAGGACAAAGAAGUCCUCGGCCCUGGUUCCCUGGGGAGGGGGCCCCUCUCCAGCCCAGCCCCAGCUCCAGGCUCAUGAGUCAGGACUGGCUUGUUGAAACUGAUACCCAGAAACCAGAUGCUGGGGCUGAUGAAUAAUGGAGUCUCCAAGGCAGAAGCCCCCCUUCCGCUCCCCCGCCGCAGCACCAUCUCCCAAACCCAGAAAAGCAGGGGACUGUGGGCAGUCCACCCCCACAGCAGGUGGGGGACCCGGCCUGGUCUUUGGUGAGACAGAGGAGCUCCCUGUCUAGGAGGAGAGACCAUAGAUCUGGGGCCAGCUCCAUGUUCUGCCCACAACAACCAGCCUGGAGCACCUUGGCUAGAGGGACACCACUGCCCAGGGGCUCCCCAUCCGGGCUGAGCUCCCCUGGGAGCCUACUGGCCCCAAGGCCCCAUCUAGCUCCUUGGAAAUCCAAGGGCGGAGGCUGCAUGUUUGAGCAGGUCGGCCAGGGUGGGGCCAACUCUGCCAGGCUGCUCUCCAAACAGCCCACCCAGCCCCUCCCUUCCCCUAGGCCUGGGCCUCACCCCUUGUCCUUGGAUUCUGGGGCCCACCUGGAGGCAGAGCCUGCCCUGAGGCCCUGCCCUGUGCUGGAUGGAUGCAGGGAACCUCUCUGCAGGCCCGGCUAACCACGUGGGCCCCAGAAGUCAGCAAGGCCCCUACCACCCCAGGGAGCAGUCCAGCUGGGACCCAGUUUUAGGGACAGAGGCAGAGGCUGUGGUCAGUGAACCUCACCUCCUGCCCAGUCCCUGCACGAAUGUGCCAGGUCCUGGAGCCCCAGAUGCCAGCAUCGAAGCCAGUGCCUUCUCCUGAUACCUCUCUCUCCAGCACUGUAUAAAAGUCUCCCUGGGAGGGAAUGAGGAAGAAGGCACAUGCCUGGGCUACAGAAGACCUGCUUCUGGGUCCCACCUACCCCUGCCCUUGCCCAUCUGUGCAAAGAGGGCACUGGCCAGUUCUCUAGAAUAUUCUACCUAGGGAUGGCUCCUGGGCCUUAAUAUGUGCCUGGACCCUGGCCAAGGGGCAGAAGAACAGUAAAAUCCUCCUACAGCCCCACAAACCUGGGGAAGGUUACUGGGGAAUUUGUAGGGCCCAGGACCCCCUCGGUCUCCAUUUCUUCGUCUUUCAUCAAGGCAAGCCAAGGCCUCUCCAGGUUCAUGGGUCUUCUCCCUCUCCCCUCCCCCAAUCGGGUCCCGGCCGGCCCAGACUGCCUGAGACUCAGACUCGCGCGCCCCCUGCCGGCCUCGAAACGACUUUCCGCCUCGGACCAACUCUCGGACGCCCAGAUUGGGCAGGGUCGCCCGAGCCUCCCAGCCACCCCGCGCCAAGCCCCACUCCAGGAUCCUCUCGCCCAGUCAACAAUCCUCACACCGGAGAGGGGUCCCCAUUGGCUCCACACUGCCCUAGCGCCGAGCCAACCCCACCCUAGAAUCACUGGGGUGGGGGCGGGAGCUUGAGCCCAUUCCACCCUCAGGUAAAUGGAGGUAGAGCCAGUGGAGCCCAUCGAUACCCACCCCCGCCCCCCGCAGCCCUGGGACUGCGUCGGUCCCUUUACUCCCGGUUCGGUCCAUUAAUUCGGGGGGAGUCCUGGACGCCGGAACCACAGCCGUCCCGAUCCCAGCCCCGUCUCGUCCCCAGCUUCCCCUUGAGACUCACCUUAGGGACAUGGGUCUCCUCCCCUGUGGCUGGGGCUCGGGCCAAGGCUGCCAAAGCCCCGAGGGGCGCGCAGAGCCAGGGGGACCGGAGCCGCGGGGCGGGCUCAGUCGGCUCUGAGCCGGCGUGGGGCGCGGGACGUAGGGGAAUUACGGUAGGCCGGCGCGGGCGCUACCACCUGGGCGGGCCGGGACGUACCAACGGCGCGCCCGGCUGGCGAGGGGGAGCGCGGGGAGCCCGGGAAGGAAGCGCGGCCGGCGCUGGGGGGUAAUCUAGGGGCCGGGCUGCGGGGCCGGGAGGGAGGGGUCGUCACUGUCCCCGAGGGGGCUGGCUCUUCACAAAUGUGCGGGAAGUUCCAAGUCCCUAGGCUUUUAACCUGGGCUUGAAGACGGGAGGUCGCCGGUCCCCGGCGAGGGCCCGCGGCGGGAAGCAGUCCCGGCCUGAGAGAGGGAGGCCCCGGGGGGUCCAGGCGCAGAGACCCGCAGGCCGAGCCCGGCCGGGCAUCGCCCCAAGCCAGGCUCGCUUCCGCUGGAUUCUGAACUGUGCCGUCCACGGCGCCUGAGAAACGGGCCCGCCUAUCUCUGUGCCCCCUCCUUUUCCCUAGCCCGUGCCUGGCAUGGCUGAAAAGGGGGCCAUUCGGCCCUUUGGUGCUUCCCAGCUUCCCUCUCCCGGCUGCCUAAGUUCAGAAUAACUCCGCGCUGGGCACGGGCGUUGCGGGGAGUGCACGAGGAUACCGGCGAGGAUACAGGAGUAUUGCGAGAGGAACUGGCCCCAGCACACCAACCCUCUUCCCUAAUUAUCACUACGGGGUGGGCCUGGGGCCGAUCUUGGGCUCAGGCCCACCAGCGUUUUUCCAAACCUGGAACCCCCUCCCACAAGCCCGUCACCAGGCCAAGGCCUCUAGGCUGCGGGUUCUCUUUCCUGUCAGGCUCUGCCCUCUUUGGCAGCACUGACCUCACUGGGGCUGGGUCCACUCCAGGACGGCUCAUCUUGGCCACAUCACACAUGGAAUGGGGUGCUCACAACCUGCACACUGGGGAGCAGCUUCAGCUGUUGGAAACUUCCCAUCCUGCCUGGGCCCUUGGAGCCAAGCAGAAAAAGUCACCUCCCUUUCCUCCUGAUAGCUCCUUAGAAAUGGGAGGCUCUGAGGACAGACAGAUCUGGUUUAAGUCCUGGCCUUGCCUUGGAUGUCCGCUCCAGGAGGUCCUGGGCCUAGAAGUGGGCCCUGCACAGCAGACGCUACAAGCUCAUUUGGUGAACGAAUGAAUGACAUCAUCUCCUUUAAAAAGCUAGUCCUGGGGCACCUGGGUGGCUCAGUUGGUUGGGCGUCCGACUUCAGCUCAGGUCAUGAUCUCACAGCUCAUGAGUUCGAGCCCCACGUCGGGCUCUGUGCCAAUAACUCAGAGCCUGGAGCCUGCUUCGGAUUCUGUGUCUCCCUCUCUCUCUGCCCCUCCCCUGCUCAUGCUCUGUCUCUCUCUGUCUCAGAAAUAAAUAAAAACAUCAAAAAAAUUUAAAAAUAAAAUAAAAUAAAUAAAUAAAUAAAAA